rnacentral:rRNA from 1 species
CCUACGGGGCGCAGCAGUGGGGGAUAUUGGACAAUGGGGGGAACCCUGAUCCAGCGACGCCGCGUGAGCGAUGAAGUAUUUCGGUAUGUAAAGCUCUAUCAGCAGGGAAGAAGAUGACGGUACCUGACUAAGAAGCCCCGGCUAACUACGUGCCAGCAGCCGCGGUAAUACGUAGGGGGCAAGCGUUAUCCGGAUUUACUGGGUGUAAAGGGAGCGUAGACGGCGGUGCAAGCCAGAUGUGAAAGCCCGGGGCUCAACCCCGGGACUGCGUUUGGAACUGUAUGGCUGGAGUGUCGGAGGGGCAG